AAAUGGAGAGAGGGAGAGAAUGGCUCUGAUACCAGUGAUUGAACUCUAAUAAGCAAAGAGGAAGAAGAACUGAUAUUUCUGAGGGGCUCCGGUAAUGGAGUCCCAGUAGUUCUCAAAGUCUGCGAGCGAUAGCAGCGCCGGCGACCCAUUCCUCCGCUGCCUUAGGCCUCCGCUUCUAUCACUCGAUCCUCUGUUCUCGAGUGGGAGAUAUCGAUUACAUGUGUCUUCCAACGAGCGAAAGGAAUAAUCACGGGCGUCAUCGAUGGAUGGUCCACAAUGCCGAGCCCUAAACCGUACUUCGCGGAUCCAUUCUUAUCGGGCGCAUCGAUCGUACCAAGGACUACUGCUGUUUGGUGUGUACUACUAUACCAAGGCGACACCUACGGCCUCUUCGCCCACAACACAACAGCAACCAUUCCUCUGACCACCUUUGCCGUCUCUUAAUGGGCUAUCGGAUCCCUUCUUGGGUCAACCGCAUUACCCGCUUCGGAACAGAAAUUUUUUUUUUAAAGGUGCACAGUGCCAGUGGAUGAGAUGAACGCAGAAUUGAGGAGGACCGCAAAUCUCUCGGCCCGGCCCAAUAACAAAGUUAAUGAUGACAAUGAAGAAGCUGAACAGAAUGAAGCUAUAGUUCCAGUGGUCUUCAUGGGCGUUUAUUGUUUGAUGCUGAAAGAUCUGUGCCUGCUGCUGAUUCUACUUCUACAGCUUCUCUAAUACAAAGAUAUCGGCGAUCCUCUUCGAAUCGCCUGCAGCUCGAUCCAAGUCAAUGAAGUAGAAACGAACAUGAAAACUGAUAUACAGCAGCCAACAACAAAGUGAAAAUAUUGAGAUAAGACUUAUCUCUGAUGGUUGUUUCUGGGGAUCUUUUACAUUUUCUGAUCUAGCGCUACAGGCAAUGAAGUAUGGUUUUGAAGCAAUUAGCUGAAUGGAGAGGCUUUAUUAAUGGCACAGUUGGUGAAGUAAUUGAUUUUGUUCGAAUCUGAUGAUAUAAAUGCUUCUCGUAUGUGUUCUGCUUUGCAUGAUCAGCAUCUUAGU